rnacentral:rRNA from 2 species
AGUCGACGAGUUCUCGUUGAUGAUCGGUGCUUGCACCGAGAUUCAACAUGGAACGAGUGGCGGACGGGUGAGUAACACGUGGGUAACCUGCCCUUAAGUGGGGGAUAACAUUUGGAAACAGAUGCUAAUACCGCAUAGAUCCAAGAACCGCAUGGUUCUUGGCUGAAAGAUGGCGUAAGCUAUCGCUUUUGGAUGGACCCGCGGCGUAUUAGCUAGUUGGUGAGGUAAUGGCUCACCAAGGCGAUGAUACGUAGCCGAACUGAGAGGUUGAUCGGCCACAUUGGGACUGAGACACGGCCCAAACUCCUACGGGAGGCAGCAGUAGGGAAUCUUCCACAAUGGACGCAAGUCUGAUGGAGCAACGCCGCGUGAGUGAAGAAGGCUUUCGGGUCGUAAAACUCUGUUGUUGGAGAAGAAUGGUCGGCAGAGUAACUGUUGCCGGCGUGACGGUAUCCAACCAGAAAGCCACGGCUAACUACGUGCCAGCAGCCGCGGUAAUACGUAGGUGGCAAGCGUUAUCCGGAUUUAUUGGGCGUAAAGCGAGCGCAGGCGGUUUUUUAAGUCUGAUGUGAAAGCCCUCGGCUUAACCGAGGAAGCGCAUCGGAAACUGGGAAACUUGAGUGCAGAAGAGGACAGUGGAACUCCAUGUGUAGCGGUGAAAUGCGUAGAUAUAUGGAAGAACACCAGUGGCGAAGGCGGCUGUCUGGUCUGUAACUGACGCUGAGGCUCGAAAGCAUGGGUAGCGAACAGGAUUAGAUACCCUGGUAGUCCAUGCCGUAAACGAUGAAUGCUAGGUGUUGGAGGGUUUCCGCCCUUCAGUGCCGCAGCUAACGCAUUAAGCAUUCCGCCUGGGGAGUACGACCGCAAGGUUG